rnacentral:rRNA from 1 species
AACGAACGCUGGCGGCAUGCCUAACACAUGCAAGUCGAACGAGACCUUCGGGUCUAGUGGCGCACGGGUGCGUAACGCGUGGGAAUCUGCCCUUUGGUUCGGAAUAACAGUUGGAAACGACUGCUAAUACCGGAUGAUGACGAAAGUCCAAAGAUUUAUCGCCAGAGGAUGAGCCCGCGUAGGAUUAGCUAGUUGGUGUGGUAAAGGCGCACCAAGGCGACGAUCCUUAGCUGGUCUGAGAGGAUGAUCAGCCACACUGGGACUGAGACACGGCCCAGACUCAUACGGGAGGCAGCAGUGGGGAAUAUUGGACAAUGGGCGAAAGCCUGAUCCAGCACUGCCGCGUGAGUGAUGAAGGCCUUAGGGUUGUAAAGCUCUUUUACCCGGGAUGAUAAUGACAGUACCGGGAGAAUAAGCUCCGGCUAACUCCGUGCCAGCCGCCGCCGUAA